rnacentral:rRNA from 1 species
UGACUCAACGCGGGAAAUCUUACCGGGUCCGGACACACUGAGGAUUGACAGGCAAUAUUAAUACGUUUUGCUUCGGUAACAUCGUAUUAUGUUAAAUAUGCUAGUCCUUUCAUGAUUAUGUGAUAGGUGGUGCAUGGCCGUUCUUAGUUCGUGGAGUGAUCUGUCUGCUUAAUUGCGUUUCACUAAGGGCCUAUAAAUUUACGUGUGUUGCAUCGCACUUUGACCCCUUUCUUUAAUUAGAGAGCGCGUGUCUUAGUUUUCGCUUUGCUCAUACAAUUAGGUCCUAGAAAGCAACGAACGUGACCGCAACCUCUUGUUGCCUUUAUACCAAACAUGUUUUGCGUCAAUUUUCGAAUUGCGCGCAUUUCAUGAAAAAAGGCUUUUUAAACUAGAGGGACCGCUGUUACUUUCUUAAACCAGAGGAAGGUUGCGGCAAUAACAGGUCUGUGAUGCCCUUAGAUGUUCCGGGCUGCACACGUGCUACAAUGAUUAUUGCAGUGAGCAUCUCAUUUUUACACACCGCAUGCGCGAGUCCAUUUAUUCACCUUCGGGUGUUUUAAAUGUGUAUCUCUGCGCGCGGUAAAGCCUGCUUCGACAGUAAGUGGGUAAUCAAUUAGAAGUAAUGAUUUCCUUUUUUUUAGCACACAUAUAUACGGGUCUAUGCCCGGGUUACCUUGUUGUAGCUUUUGUSCKUWUAKGUUUUUYCGUAGUGCGAUUGCAAUYAGGGGGGGACAGACCAUUGUUAAUUGUUGGUCUCGGUCUUAACUAGGAAUGCCUUUGUACGGGUCUUUGGUUCAACAAACCACCCGGAAUCGUCCCUGCCCUUUGUACACACCGCCCGUCGCUCUUCCGAUGGACUUCUCUGUGAGUUUGAGGGACUGGGAACGCAGGAAUUUAUUUCUGCACACCUAUGGAAACUUAAACGAACAGUGGUGGUCUUAAAGGAAAGAGAAGUCGUAACAAGGCAUAA